rnacentral:rRNA from 1 species
CCUAGUUCUAACCGUAAACGAUGACAACCAGCGAUUAAUCGGCGUUAAUAUAUGACCCGAUUAGCAGCUUCCGGGAAACCAAAGUUUUUCGUUUCCGGGGGAAGUAUGGUUGCAAAGCUGAAACUUAAAGGAAUUGACGGAAGGGCACCACCAGGAGUGGAGCCUGCGGCUUAAUUUGACUCAACACGGGAAAACUCACCCGGCCCGGACACCGUAAGGAUUGACAGACUGAGAGCUCUUUCUUAAUUCGGUGGGUGGUGGUGCAUGGCCGUUCUUAGUUGGUGGAGCGAUUUGUCUGGUUAAUUCCGAUAACGAACGAGACUCUGGCCUAUUAAAUAGACGAUAUAUUUAAAAGUAUAUCGCGCUUCUUAGAGGGACAAGCGGCGUCUAGCCGCAUGAAAUAGAGCAAUAACAGGUCUGUGAUGCCCUUAGAUGUCCGGGGCUGCACGCGCGCUACACUGAAAGAAUCAGUGUGCGUUACGCCUAGUUCGGAAGAACCGGGUAACCCAAGUAAAUUCUUUCGUGCUUGGGAUAGGGAAUUGCAAUUAUUUCCCUAAACGAGGAAUUCCCAGUAAAUGCGGGUCAUAAGCUCGCGUUGAUUAC